AUGCAAGAGGCUGACCCACAAUCAACCAUUAGCAUAAAAAAUGACAAAGAAGAAGAAAACAACGAAGAGAAGGUAUCACAAUCACUACAAGACCAAGAGACAACUAGUGUUGAAGUUGAACCCCAUAGUGAACCUCAAACAGACGAAGGAGUCACAGAACGGGAAGUUUGUGCACAAGAGAUUGCCAGUGCGACAACAUUGCAGAUCACCAUCACGAGUACAAAGGAGAAAACCCAAGACAUCCAAGACGAUGAGAAACUAGAGACUGUUAUACCUAACAAAGAAACAGUCGAUGCAGGCACGAAUAACCCAGUCAUCAACACAGAGGAAACAAACAAGUACAUUGAUCUCGAAGAUCAAGAAGCAGCGCAACCAAAGGAAACUGGAAAACACACAGAACUUCAAACAACAACAUCUGAAGAGGAAGAGGAAGCAAGUGAAAGCACUUGCAUAGACAUUGAACAAGAAAAACUAGAGGACAGCACGAGACAAGGAGAAGCCGUAGUUCCAGCAGUAGACAGUCCUGCAAAUACAGAGAAAGAGGCACAAGAAGCUCAAGAGAGCACCAACAAUCAAGACCAUCAAACACAACUAGAGGAGCCCAAUGAACAACCCUAA
rnacentral:rRNA from 1 species